CCUACGGGUGGCAGCAGUGAGGAAUAUUGGUCAAUGGGCUGGCGCCUGAACCAGCCAAGCCGCGUGAGGGAAGAAUGUACAGCGUAUUGUAAACCUCUUUUGUCAGGGAACAAAGGCGGCGACUAGUCCCCGGAUGAGGGUACCUGGAGAAAAAGCCUCCGCUGACUCCGUGCCAGCAGCCGGCGUAAUACGGAGGAUGCGAGCGUUAUCCGGAUUUAUUGGGUUUAAAGGGUGCGCAGGCGGCCUGUUAAGUCAGCGGUAAAAGCCCGGGGCUCAACCCCGACGAGCCGUUGAAACUGGCGGGCUGGAGUGGGAGAGAAGUACGCGGAAUGCGCGGUGUAGCGGUGAAAUGCUUAGAUAUCGCGCAGAACCCCGAUUGCGAAGGCAGCGUACCGGCGCCACACUGACGCUGAGGCACGAAAGCGUGGGUAUCGAACAGGAUUAGAAACCCCUGUAGUC
rnacentral:rRNA from 1 species